GAAAUGCGAUAAGUAGUGUGAAUUGCAGAAUUUAGCGAAUCAUCGAAUCUUUGAACGCACAUUGCGCCCCUUGGUAUUCCAUGGGGCAUGCCUGUUCGAGCGUCAUUUCAACCCUCAAACACUGCUUGGUGUUGGGCGUUUGUCCCGCCUACGCGCGUGGACUCGCCUCAAAGUCAUUGGCAGCUGUUCCCCUUCGGCUCGUAAGCGCAGCACAGUCGGCGCCUGGAGCUCUGGUGGGAUGGCGUCCAGCAAGCUAUAUUUUCAGGCUUGACCUCGGAUCAGGUAGGGAUACCCGCUGAACUUAAGC
rnacentral:misc_RNA from 1 species